GUGUAUUGUCAUGCCUCCCUGAAUGCACCUGAACCAUCUGGUAUCCUCUCAGAAGCUAAGCAAGGUUGGCUCUGGUUAGUACUUAGAUGAGAGGAAGUUAGUACUUGGAUGGCAUAUUUU
rnacentral:rRNA from 1 species